rnacentral:rRNA from 1 species
GAUGAACGCUGGCGGCGUGCUUAACACAUGCAAGUCGAACGGAAAGGCCGAAGCUUGCUUCGGUACUCGAGUGGCGAACGGGUGAGUAACACGUGGGUGAUCUGCCCUGUACUUCGGGAUAAGCUUGGGAAACUGGGUCUAAUACCGGAUAUGACGAUCUCUUGGAUGGGGUUGUGGAAAGCUUUUGCGGUAUGGGAUGAGCUCGCGGCCUAUCAGCUUGUUGGUGGGGUAAUGGCCUACCAAGGCGUCGACGGGUAGCCGGCCUGAGAGGGUGUACGGCCACAUUGGGCCUGAGAUACGGCCCAGACUCCCACGGGGGGCAGCAGUGGGGAAUAUUGCACAAUGGGCGCAAGCCUGAUGCAGCGACGCCGCGUGGGGGAUGACGGCCUUCGGGUUGUAAACUCCUUUCGCAAUCGACGAAGCCUUUUGGUGACGGUAGGUUGAGAAGAAGCACCGGCUAACUACGUG